rnacentral:lncRNA from 1 species
CCCUUUCCAACUGACUAGGUAUCCCCAUUUCCCUUUCCAACUGACUAGGUAUCCCCCAUUUCCCUUUCCAACUGACUAGGUAUCCCCAUUUCCCUUUCCCAAUAACUGGAAGCAUGUAACUGUAUUUCCUAGAAGGUUGUUGUCUUGGGCACCUGGAGGUUCAGCAGUGUGACCCAAUCAGCAAUUUCCCUGUAUGUAUCCAGUGAAAAGGAUGUGUCUUCUCAGGUUUUGGCCUGCCAUAUGAGUUCUGUUAUACUCACAGACACCAUUCAAACAGUUUUAGAAACUUCAGAGUGUUUUCUAUCCAAAUCUACUAAUAAUAUGCAAAUAUCUGACUCUGGGCCCGAGUAUUAGGCUGUUUACUCUGGGCACGCUUUUCAUCCGAAAUCGAAAAUACUGCCCCCUAUACCUUGACAGGUUAAACA